rnacentral:lncRNA from 1 species
AAUUUGACCUUUUCUCAAAGAAGAUGCCCUUGGACGCUUUUGCAUCAAGUGUAUGCAGAAUGGGACCCUCAAAGCAUAGAGAGCCAUGAAUUGAUGAGCUUGAACAUUCAUAUUUCACUCCUAUGGUUCAACUUUAGGCAAGACAGUCUUUCAAUAUCAGUUUCCUGACCUGCAAAACGAUGCUGUUAACUAAAUAAGAAAAUUGGCUAAGUUGGACUCUUGGAAAAAAGUUUUUGUAUAUGUAGUGUAUGUGAUACCAUAUUGACUAUGGCUUGGGGCCCUGGUAAUUUCCAUAGUGGGAGGCUAUAAAAACCUGGAGGCAGUAGAGGAUGCUAGAGUGGAUGACUGGUGUGGGAUGGUGGCUCUUUUCUCAUCUUGCCAUGUCCAGGCAGAACAGAGACAAUGGAUAUUGAAGACACUUAGCCCAAACACCUGUGAAGAAGGCCUCAGGUCAGAAGAGACAUGUCCCUCCUUCAUAUGACCCUUCAAAGGCUGGAGGAGGUGUUUGAGGGAACUGCAUCUCAAUCCUGUCAUGUGGUAGGCAGCCUAGUGAUAGGCAACCUAAUUACCCUUGACUUUGCUUAACCUACCUGACUUCUGAAUCAUGAUAAUAGCUGCCAUUUUUUGAGCUCUUGCCUUAUGCUAGGAAAUGUGAUAUAUAUUGUCUUAUAUUGACAGUGACUCUGCAAAGUAGGUCUUGUUUUCUCCGUUCUACACAAGAUGCACUUGAAGCUCUGAGACGAACUCCCACUCAAAGGAGUUGCCAAGAUAUUCCUCUGUUUGCCCGUUAGCAGAGUCAGGGAUAUCAGAGUGUUUGCAAGCCAGCUGGAGAGCCUUUGAUGGCUUUUAUGUUAUGUUCAAAACAAAAUGUUGUGUUAUUGUGUAAGAG